CCAGCCCACGGGAGGCAGCAGUGAGGAAUAUUGGUCAAUGGGCGGGAGCCUGAACCAGCCAAGCCGCGUGAAGGAAGAAGGCGCCAGGCGUCGUAAACUUCUUUUGUCGGGGAACAAAGGGCGCCACGUGUGGCGUUGUGAGUGUACCCGAAGAAAAAGCAUCGGCUAACUCCGUGCCAGCAGCCGCGGUAAUACGGAGGAUGCGAGCGUUAUCCGGUUUUAUUGGGUUUAAAGGGUGCGUAGGCGGUCCGGAAAGUCAGCGGGAAAAGCCCGGGGCUCAACC
rnacentral:rRNA from 1 species